rnacentral:rRNA from 1 species
GACGAACGCUGGCGGCGUGCUUAACACAUGCAAGUCGAACGGAAAGGUCCUGCUUUUGUGGGGUGCUCGAGUGGCGAACGGGUGAGUAACACGUGAGUAACCUGCCCUUGACUUUGGGAUAACUUCAGGAAACUGGGGCUAAUACCGGAUAGGAGCUCCUGCUGCAUGGUGUGGGUUGGAAAGUUUCGGCGGUUGGGGCUGGACUCGCGGCUUAUCAGCUUGUUGGUGGGGUAGUGGCUUACCAAGGCUUUGACGGGUAGCCGGCCUGAGAGGGUGACCGGCCACAUUGGGACUGAGAUACGGCGCAGACUCCUACGGGAGGCAGCAGUGGGGAAUAUUGCACAAUGGGCGGAAGCCUGAUGCAGCAACGCCGCGUGCGGGAUGACGGCCUUCGGGUUGUAAACCGCUUUCGCCUGUGACGAAGCGUGAGUGACGGUAAUGGGUAAAGAAGCACCGGCUAACUACGUG